UUAUUACAAUAACUAAUUCCAUUUUUCCAUUUCUUAUACUUUAUGUAUAUUCUUUCUCCUAGGUCUACUUAAUGUGUAUUUGUGUUAUUCUGAUAUGUGUACAUUGUCUUUCUUUUGAGCU